rnacentral:rRNA from 1 species
GAUGAACGCUGGCGGCGUGCUUAACACAUGCAAGUCGAACGACGUGGCGCACGGGUGAGUAACGCGUAAUCAACCUGCCCUUCAGAGGGGUACCACAGGUGGAAACGACUGCUAAUCCCGCAUACUGAAGGAGGGGUUUGCGUCUGAUAAGCUAGUUGGAGGGGUAACGGCCCAACAAGGCGAUGAUCAGGAGCCGGGCCGAGAGGAUGAACGGCCACAUUGGGAAUGGGACACGGCCCAGACUCCUACGGGAGGCAGCAGUGGGGAAUCUUCCGCAAUGGACGAAAGUCUGACGGAGCAAAGCCGCGUGAGGGAUGACGGCCUUCGGGUUGUAAAGCUCUGUUAAUCGGGACGCGGUACCGGAAUAGAAAGCCACGGCUAACUACGUGCCAGCAGCCGCGGUAAUAC